CCUCUGGUAGUGUAGUGGUCAUCACGUGCGCUUCACACGCGCAAGACCCCUGGUUCGAUCUCAGGCGAGAGCA
rnacentral:tRNA from 1 species